UACGUAGGAUCCAAGCGUUGUCCGGAUUUACUGGGUGUAAAGGGUGCGCAGGCGGACUUGUUAGUCAGAGGUGAAAUCUCACUGCUCAACAGUGAAACUGCCUUUGAUACUGCAGGUCUUGAAUCCAGAAGAGAGUUGUGGAAUUCCGAGUGUAGCAGUGAAAUGUGUAGAUAUUCGGAAGAACACCAGCGGCGAAGGCAAGCAACUUGGUCUGGUAUUGACGCUCAGGCACGAAAGCAUGGGGAUCAAACAGG
rnacentral:rRNA from 1 species